AACCAGGUUGGUUUAUGACUUUAUCUAUGACUGCUCUUAUCUUCUGUUCACCUGGAUAUUCCUAUUCCAGUGUGUGUGAGACAGAGAUAGAGGUUACUUCACUUGCUUUGGCAAUGUUUACAUAUGCUUCCCAUAACAAUAACGCCCUUAAAUGAGAGAGAGAGAGAUGUUACGAGCGAGGGACAGAGAGAGACAGUUAAUUAUAAUCUUACUUGCUGUGGAAAUGAGUCUGAUCCAGUAGUUAGUAGAGUAGUCUGAUCCAGGUGUGUUUUAGACCAGUAGUUAGUAGUCUGAUCCAGGUGGGUUUUAGACCAGUAGUUAGUAGAGUAGUCUGAUCCUGGUGUGUUUUAGACCGGUAGUUAGUAGAGUAGUCUGAUCCAGGUGUGUUUUAGACCAGUACUUAGUAGAGUAGUCUGAUCCAGGUGUGUUUUAGACCAGUAGUUAGUAGUCUGAUCCAGGGUUGUUUUAGACCAGUAGUUAGUAGAGUAGUCUGAUCCAGGUGUGUUUUAGACCAGUAGUUAGUAGUCUGAUCAGGUGUGUUUUAGACCAGUAGUUAGUGGACUAGUCUGAUCCAGGUGUGUUUUAGACCAGUACUUAGUAGUCUGAUCCAGGUGUGUUUUAGAUCAGUAGUUAGUAGAGUAGUCUGAUCCAGGUGUGUUUUAUACCAGUAGUUAGUAGAGUAGUCUGAUCCAGGUGUGUUUUAGACCGGUAGUUAGUAGUCUGAUCCAGGUGUGUUUUAGA
ensembl:lncRNA